GAGCUGUGGAGAGUUCUCCAGCAAGAGCUGCAGCUCUGGAGUAAUGGCAUCCCGAGGCUCCCUAGGACCGCGCAGUCGCCUAGAGGCAGCCCUCCGGAAGGGGCCGCCCCUGAGCCGGCAGAGCUGGGCCGGGAGACCUGGGAGAGCCCAAGUAGCCGGCUGUGCUAGGCGGGGGUCGGCUGGGAGGGACCGGUGACCGCCUGGGGUCCCGGCAGAGCGCAGAAAAGCAGAGGAAAUACACUCGGAUCCAAGUGCCCCUGGCCCUCAUGACCCGACCCCUGGAAAAGCAUCUGAGUUACCCGACAUCCUGGUCAGCAGGAGCUGGGCUGGAGACUGGAUGCUGCAGCUUCAGAGACUCAGCACCUAGGAAGGCUCCUGUGCAGGGAGAAAGGCAGAGAUGCGACAUUUUUAAAGUUUCACAAAACACGAGGCAGCACCCAGGUCCCUGGAUCAGGAGACACACAGAAUUAAUGUUUUAUACCUUCGGGUAUAGGUUUGAGUUUUUUCCCCCUCAUGCCAAGUAUUUAAAACCUCUAGAAACCCAUGAUUUGACAAUCAAUGAUUGCGCGAUACUUUCAAUUUGAAUAUUCAAAGGCUUAACAAAAUGGACUAUCUUCUGCAGAAAUCCUGCACACAGGCACCUCACAGAGAGUCCAGAGAAACAGAGAGGGAGAUCCCUUUGGGUCCUGACCCUUGCUUUUCUCCUAUUUUAAACAUUUUGUCCACCUGCCCACAGGCAGAGCAGGUGUCCUCAAAGAUGCUCUAUGUUAGUGCCUCAAAGGCUGCCCUGAAGUCCCCACUGACCUAGGCUGUUCCCUGUGGACCACCUGAACCAGGUUGGACAGCCACAUUGAAUCUCUCUUGUCCACUCUCCAUUUUAAGGGGAAAUGGCAGGUUUUGGGGAAUGAACAUGGCAGACAGAGGGUGUGGCACAGCAAAGAGCCACUUUGGGCCCAGGCUGCAGGUCAGAGGACGGCAGAGGCCAAAACUUUGUGCUUUGUAUCCCUCUGGCCCUGCCUGGCCACAAGGCUUGCCUGUCCAGUCUGCAUCCUCCCUCCUGCUAGGUCACAGACACUGGGCUUCCAGCAAGCAGUCCUUAAACAUCAGCGCUCUUUGCUCUUUGGAGCUGUAGACCAGCACAGCUUCCUUGACCCACCUGAGAUUCCUUUAGGCCAGGUUUCCACUGCUGCAUUGUGGCAAUCCCUAUUCCUAUGUUUUGGCUUGUUUUUAAUUCCUCGAACCCCAGACUUUUUACCUCAUAGAACUCCUGCUUCCUUUAGAGGAAGGGCAUGGUUUUUUCUUUCUUUCUUUCUUUUGAAGGCUCUGAGGAGAGAGGUAGGAGGAAUUUGGAACCAACCUGUCUUCUUGGAUCCCUCAUGAAUAUGAGUAACUCCGACCCAUGCUGAUGUGUAUUUUGGAAGCUCUGCCUGAGUUGCUCUCUGUCCUGUGAUUUGAAGGAUGAAGAGACUGGAGUGAUAUGGAAUGUCAGGUCAAGAUGUCACAGGGGGACAGAAGGGUCCCCUUUGCAAAUAACUAGGAGGUUUCCAGGAAUGCAGAUAAAGUGAUGGUAUAGGCCUCUCUCUUUUAAUCCCCGAGUUGUCUGAAGUGCAAACAAAACAAAAAAUAAACCUACCAAACAAAAGCCAAAAAAAAAAAAAAAAACACCAAAACCAAACCAAAACAAAAACCCAAGCUUUAGAUUAAAAAAUCUUUAGAAAAAAGUCUGAAAACUUAAAAAUAUAUCAGACAUAGUAUAUUAGAUAUAGAGUAUCUAACAAACAGCUCAGCUAAAGGGUCUCUGGGGGUGAUACAAGCAUUCAGGGUAGACCUGUCUGCUAGGCAGGUGGAGCCACAUAUCUGGAAAAGGGUCAGGGCUGGGGACACUUGAAGUAGCAUCUGGCGGUGGAGAAGUAGGGUGAGAUGUGGUUGUAUUUGGUCCAGCUGGUGUUUAUCAGCCACUGGACUCUAUUUUUGUAAAGCCAGGCCUGAGGACCAGACCAGAGAAAGGACCAGGGGAUCUGAGAGAAACCCUCUCCCUGGGACCACAUCCUUCUUUCCUCUAGUCAAUGUUUUCCCUUGCUGUCCUCCUUUCUGUCUUGCUUUUAAGAUCUCCUUGUUGUCCUUUGGCUGUUUUGUUUAUUCUGCCCCCCCUUUUCUGUCCCCUGUUUUUCUCCAUGUUGACACUUAUUUUCAUUUCUUGUCUCUCUUUUCUCUCUGACUCUAUACAUGCCUCUCUUUCCCCUCGUGCUGUCUCAUUCUUUUACACUAAAUAUAUUUCUUCAGCUCCCCUUUCACACAGGAUUGAGCAGAGGGGGCCUAAGGUCACAGUUUUCCCUUGACAAUAUCAAGAACAGUAGUGCUGGUGACUGAGUUCUCCAGAGAGAACACAGACUGGAAGACAGGCUCUUUAGAAGCCUGGUGUCUACAGGGAUAAGAGCGAAGAAAUCUGCAUCUUUUCUCCCAGAAGUCUUUGCCUGAGCCAUAGCUAACAUCCUGGGGCAUUUGUGUGCUGGUGCAGUUCCUGAGGUUUAGAGUCUGAUGAUGUUACUGACAAAUAACUUCAGAAAACUAUUUCCACAGGCCCACUUUGAGAAUCAUCCCUGUGCUAUCUAUAUUGCAGGUCAGCUCAACAUUCAGGAGUUUUGAUUCUUGUUCUUGUAACUGAAAAGCCUCAGCACAGACAUUUCAGAGCCAAAGCCCUGCUUCAGGAGGCAGGAGACAAUGCUUUUUCAGUAGAUCCUCUUUGCAUCUCUCUCUCCUUUCCCCCUAUCUCUGUCUUUCUGUUUCUGUGUGGUGUGCAUGUGUGUGUGUGCACGCACACGUGUGUCUGUGUGUCUAUGUAUCUGUGUAUCUGUGCGAUGAUGAUAUCUAACGCAACCAGCUAUUUUUACCUUGAGAUUCCAAAUGCCGUUAGAAGUUGGUACCCUGCUUCAGUUGCUUGCUCGCUCGCGUGCUUGCCCAUCCAUCCAUCCAUCCAUCCAUCCGUCCGUCCGUCCGUCCGUCCGUCCGUCCGUCCAUCCGUCCAUCCAUCCAUCCAAGUGUUGAGAUAGAAUCCAGAGCAUGCUGGGUAAGCACUCUACAGCAGAACAACAUCCCUAGCUCAGAAGAUUAUUUAAAGUUCUCAUCUCUUGCUCCUGGGUGCCAGGCCUGUAUUAUUGCAUAGCAAAUGACAGAACUGGUGUUCAGACUUUUGUAAGUAUCACCCCAAAGUCCUUGCUGUGUUAUCAGCAUGUCCAAGGGGCUUCUAGAAACCUGGAGCUCUGAAGAAGCAACUGGCUAGUGGUGAGGACAAGCUGGUCAUUAUUCUGACUGUAGUUUGUGGUUAUCCAACCAGAACCCUCUUCCUGGGGGCUGAUUGCUUCUAGGAUGCCUCCCUGAAGUCCCAACAGUCCCUCUGAGGUUGUAAAAAAUUGGGGGGUCUGGUCUUCUGCCACAAGCUCCUUCACUUAUAACACUAUCUUGAUGUUGGGUGUGGGGGAGGAUAUUAAAAUGCUAAGAGGGAGUGACAUCAUGACCUGUGGCUUUCUAGCUUGUAGCUCUAUUGUUGGCACAUAUAAAAUCUGUGUGGAGGAGAUGGGUCUCGCUGUUUGUAAGGCAAAUUUUGCCUUUAAAUGAGGGAUAAUCUAUGGAGAUGUUCUUUCCUUGAGCAUCAGGUGUGUACCAGGCACAGUAACCAGGAGUACAGUAAAGAUCAGUAAGCCUUGGUUUCUGCCAGCAAUGGCUCUGUUCUCCCAUGUGCUCACUGCUUUCCUAUUGUAGGUUAAUUUGCAAACCCAUUCAUUCAUUCACUCACCAUUUACUCAACCACCUUAUGUUAAUUGCCCCGACUGGUCCAGUUCUUGCUUUCCACCCAAGCCUUUGCCCCUGAAAGCCUCUCUGUCCAUAGUCUUUCCCAUCCUUCCUAAACCAGCUUUUCAAAUCUCUGCUUUUCCAUGCCACAAACUCAGAAAUCCUUCAGUCUGCCAACUGUUCAUCAGUCAUAAAGUCAGCAGCACCUGGGGUGAGCAGAAUGGGCAUCGUUAAUGUGUAAAGUUGAACGUUUUUAAUUGGAAAAAAUAUUGAUGGUCUUCUGCAUGCAAAUGACCUUGCACAGCAUUGUGCUUUCCCCUCUCAAGCAGGUUUUAUUAAAUGUAGACGUGCAUAUUAAAAGACCUUCAGUAUGAGGAAAGGGUGUCGUUAUUCCUUCCGAAUUUGACUAUAGCCCUAAAUUUUCUUUAGUAAUGCAAAAUUCUUUUGUCACCUCGAUGUUGGGACACUGUUACCGAAUGUUGUGGGAAAUAUCAAGUUCCAAAAUGUUGAAUGCAUAGAGGAAACAAGUAUUUAUGGGUCCUUAGGAAGCAAGUUUGAUCCAUGUGAACGUGACCAAGAAGACUGGGAGACGGAGGUUGUGUAAUAAGAAUGCACUCAGAGUCAGUUUCUCCAUAUACUAUAUAUUCAGAAUUUAGACUUUCCUCCAAGAAAAGGUUAUGAUGAGCCAACCUUUGAUCAUUUAUUAUUUAUACAAGAAAAGUACCGUAUCACACUGCUUGCAAAGUUACUGUUUUAGUUAAAACAUUUUUUUUUUAUUGCACCAUACUUCUAACACAAAAGUGUGUAGAGAAUUCCAUCAGGCAAAGCUGUGAAUAUUUCACCAAAGCUGGGAAAUAAAAUGGCUGAGUGAGCACACUUUUGCAUUCGACUUUCUAAGCAAUGGACCUUCUGGAUCCUUCCACUUAAGAUAUCUGACUAGUGGGACAGUUCUGUUAUUUUUCUUACUGUAGAAGAGUUGAACUCUUGAUAUUUCUCCUUUUGGAACAUGGAACUUUUUCCCUGUUCUUUUUUUUGUAAUCUAUUGACAAUGCAUUUUGCAAACCUCUAUGUCUUAUCUGGUCUGAAGUUGUCGUUAAAAGAUAUUUAUGUAUCACAUAUCUAAUAAAGCAUGAUACCAAUGUUUG
rnacentral:lncRNA from 1 species